GGAUUCUCCGAGUCGGAGCUCUGAGAUCAAGCUGCUAUGGACAGCACUGGUAUUUAUGUGAUCAUGGCAGUGGGGCAGAGAAGCAGCUACAGCUGGUUACAUCCUGAACUACAGCACCUUAACCUGACAGAGACAGAAGAUCAAAGCUGUAGGUCCCACUACAGAGUUGACCAGGAACCUUAAGAUAUCACCUUCCAAGACACAGGCUGCCAAAUAAAUGACUAAAGCUGGGUGUGCUGGAGGAGAAAUGCUGAAAAUUUCAUAGGAGACAGAAAGAGUUGGCAUUGGCCUCCAGAAACAAAAAGACUGAGGAUAUUGUGGCCAAUGACAGGAGAAGGAACAUGUUGUAUGUUGCUUGGGAAGACACAUGGGCAAGGAGGAACGGUUGCCACAAUGUGUGGGGAACAAUGGCAUCCUCUGUCUUACACAGAGAGGCCGGAUCACAGUCAAGAGACUUGGAGUACUGUGGUAGCUCCCAGGAGCCAUGAACCAAGUGCCUCUUAACCUAGGGACUCUAUAAAC
rnacentral:lncRNA from 1 species